UCACAUACUUUUUUUUGCAACUGUAAAUACCUAUAAAUCUCAGUUCUGUUCUGUGUGCUGAAUAUAAGUUUCCUCCUGUUUCUGCUCAGUGGAGGAGCAGCUCUUCCGGUCGGUGGAGGGUCAGGCGGCGUCUGAUGAAGAGGAGGAGCGCUGGACGGGGGAGCAGCAGAGGCAGGUGGACGAGGUGAAGAAGAUACUGACCAGACUCUCCUGCUGUGGAGACAGGUGUGAUGAUAGAGCUCUGAAGAGGCUGCUGUGUUGUUGUUACCUGUGUUCAGGUGUGAUGAUAGAGCUCUGAAGAGGCUGCUGUCUCACUGUGGAGACUCGCGAGCGGAGGAGAGCUACACCGCAGUUCUGGAGCUUCUGGAUCGAGUGACCCGCCUCCACAAACAGCUGGAGCUCAGAGAGAACCAGGCCAUGAGGAACCGGCCCGACCCAGAGCAGAUAAAGGACUCCCUGCUGCAGGAGCUCCAGCAGAAGGCGGAGGAGACGGAGCUCCUCCACAGGGAGCUGCAGAUGUUGGAGACGGAGAGAGUUCGUCUCUCUUUAGUGGAGGAGAAACUCCUGGAUGUUCUGCAGCUCCUGCAGCAGCUCAGAGAACUGGUCAGUCCCAAACCUCAGUUUAUAAAAUUAUUCUAUUCAGAAGAAGAGAAAACACAGAGAGUGUGUACAUUAUUUAAUGAAAAGAUAAUCAAGCAUCAAAACAUAAAUAAAU
rnacentral:lncRNA from 1 species